AUCCAACUGACGAGUCCCAAAUAGAACGAAACGCGCAUCCUAUAU
rnacentral:hammerhead_ribozyme from 1 species